rnacentral:rRNA from 1 species
CCUACGGGAGGCAGCAGUGAGGAAUAUUGGUCAAUGGCCGGAAGGCUGAACCAGCCAAGUCGCGUGAAGGAAGAAGGAUCUGUGGUUUGUAAACUUCUUUUAUAGGGGAAUAAAGGCAGCCACGUGUGGAUAGUUGCAUGUACCCUAUGAAUAAGCAUCGGCUAACUCCGUGCCAGCAGCCGCGGUAAUACGGAGGAUGCGAGCGUUAUCCGGAUUUAUUGGGGUUAAAGGGUGCGUAGGGUGUUUUUUAAGUCAGCGGUGAAAGUUUGUGGCUCAACCAUAAAAUUGCCGUUGAAACUGGCAGCCUUGAGUUUGUUUGAGGUAGGCGGACUGCGUGGUGUCGCGG